rnacentral:rRNA from 1 species
ACGGAGGGAGCAAGCGUUGUCCGGAAUUACUGGGCGUAAAGGGCUCGUAGGCGGGAACUUAAGUCCGGGAGUAAAUGCAUCGGCUCAACCGGUGAAUCAUCCUGGAUACUGGGUUUCUUGAGGGCAGAAGAGGAAAGGGGAAUUCCUGGUGUAGCGGUGAAAUGCGUAGAUAUCAGGAAGAACACCUGUGGCGAAGGCGCCUUUCUGGUCUGUUCCUGACGCUGAGGAGCGAAAGCCAGGGGAGCGAACGG